UACGAAGGGGGCUAGCGUUGCUCGGAAUCACUGGGCGUAAAGCGCACGUAGGCGGACUCUUAAGUCGGUGGUGAAAUCCUGGAGCUCAACUCCAGAACUGCCUUCGAUACUGAGAGUCUCGAGUCCGGGAGAGGUGAGUGGAAUUCCCAGUGUAGCGGUGAAAUGCGUAGAUAUUGGGAGGAACACCAGUGGCAAAGGCGGCUCACUGGACCGGUUCUGACGCUGAGGCGCGAAAGCGUGGGGAGCAAACGGG
rnacentral:rRNA from 1 species